rnacentral:rRNA from 1 species
UGCGGCUCGACUCUACUUCCCCAUCUUCCGUCGGCCCGAGCCAUCCGGUCCUCCCUUCCUGCCCCUAGCCGAACUCCUCCGCUUUCCCCCAAAUCCGGCGAGAAUCUCGGCACGCCAUGACCUCCUCUUACCGGCCGGCCGCCACGAUGAGCCCGGAGGCGACGGCGCCAGUACCCAAGGUGGAGGCCGAGGCGGCGGCGACGGCGGCCCGAAACCCUAGCUCCCCCAGCGGCCCGCCGUCGCCGGAGAUGGAGGCCACGGCGGAGGCGCUCACGCGGGAGGAGGUGCUACGCCGGAGGCGCCGACGCACGGCGCGGCUCGUUGGUGUGUACCGCCGGCUGUACUGGGCGAUGGCAGAGGAGGUGCGCGCGCGGCACCGCCAGUACGUCUGGGAGCUCGGCCGCAGUCCGCUCGAGGCCGAGCAGCCCCCGUCGGCCGCGUGCUCGGAGGCGAAGCCUGGGCCGGCGGCGGUGCCGAGGAGGAAGAAGUGUGGGUUCACGGGCUGCAAGGUGCGGGCGAUGCCGAUGGCCAAGUACUGCCACUCCCACAUCCUCUCCGAUCCCAAUCAGGCCCUGUACAAGGGAUGCGGUCAAAUCAUCAAGAGUGGUGCACAGAUUGGGCAAAUUACUUGCAGCAGGCCCAUCCUAAAAGCUUCAGUUCCCUCCCUCUGCAAUGUUCAUUUGCAAAGAUCUCAGAAGAACAUAUCACAGGCUUAUAAGAAAGUUGGCUUUAAUCCACCCCCUAUUGGCCAGAUCUCCCCAGAUUUUAGUGUCUUAGUUGCCGAAUGUGUCCGUCAGAUCCAGGCCAGGAGGAGAGAAUCCCGAAGUGUUGUAGCAGGGAAGAAAUGCCCCAAAGAUGGGAAAGUUGGCUGAGCUAUACCCUGAGAUCUCAUUUGUUACAUAAACUGUAGGAAAAUGUCAGGCAUCCUGAGGUUUACCGAGUGUUGAUAACUAACCCUGCGGGUUACUGCACUCUUCCUUGAAAGAUAUGGAAUAUUGAAAAUAUAUGUGGCGUGCAGCUGUGCAUGACUGGAUGACAACAUGACCCUGAUGGUUGUCAGUUACAGCAAAUUUCAUAUGAAGAGUUUAUCCAACGAGCUAGUGGUGGAGUGUCAAGUAUCAAGGUUGAGGGUUCGCAAAAUGCACACAUGUCAGGAGAGCAUUUAUGUAUCAAAAUGCUUCUGACGACUUCCUGAACAUGCUGCAGGAUUGCCAUGGUUAAUUUUAUUCAUCUUCUGAUGGUAAUUUAUCCUAAAUGAAGGCCUGAGUUAGAUUUACUGGGUCGGUUCAUUGCCAACUGCCGAUUUUGAAGAACAUGAUGAAAUCUUCACCUUGUUUACGGCACAUACUUCUUCAGAAAGGAUUGAGAUUGUUGCUUUGUGCCAAGGAUGCUAUGGAGACAGUGGUUUUGUGCCAAUCCUGAAGGAGCCAUUCAAAUAAGGUACUAUGAGGAGGGAAUAGCAUGUACAUGUUGAUGUUUAUGACAUGGAUGAGGAGAGGGCAUGUACAUGUUGAUGUUUAUUUUUGCCUGAUUUAGUUGGAAUGGUUGCAUUGUACGGAAGAUGUCCACAGAGGACCCUGCAAGCAGUAUGAGAUGUUGCUGCAUUGCUGAUAUUGAUGCAAGGGAGGAGCCAUACAUACAAAGGAUAGUUGCCUGGUACUGCAAUCAAAUUUAGCAUCUUUGUUGCAUGAAUAGUUACUUAUGAAUUAAUGGAUGUUGUGGUACCAGCAACACAUGGAUGUGCAUGCUUAAGCUUAUAUCAAACUAGUGGACCUGUUGCGCCAAAUGGCGCAGAGGCACGCUAAAGCCAUGUCCGCGAUGAAAAAAGUUCCAUGGUUUAAUCCCCUCUAAUAGGAAACAUAGUGGAAUGUUGUGUAUAAUGAUAUGAAUAUACACGGCUUAACUUAAUAGUAUAGUCUAAUUUAAAACAAAAAUACAUGCGUUGGUAUGAAAAAUUAAGAUAGAAUUGUCUUUCAAAAUCUAUACAAUGACUUUUUUGAAAAGGUUUAUCUUUCUCGGUAAAAAUAUUUUUUAGCAACC